rnacentral:rRNA from 1 species
UUGCCCUAGUAACGGCGAGUGAAGCGGCAACAGCUCAAAUUUGAAAUCUGGCGCAAGCCCGAGUUGUAAUUUGCAGAGGAUGUUUCUGGCGACGCGCCUUCCGAGUUCCCUGGAACGGGACGCCAUAGAGGGUGAGAGCCCCGUACGGUUGGAUGCCUAGCCUCUGUGAAACUCCUUCGACGAGUCGAGUAGUUUGGGAAUGCUGCUCUAAAUGGGAGGUAUACGUCUUCUAAAGCUAAAUACCGGCCAGAGACCGAUAGCGCACAAGUAGAGUGAUCGAAAGAUGAAAAGCACUUUGAAAAGAGGGUUAAAAAGUACGUGAAAUUGUUGAAAGGGAAGCGUUCAUGACCAGACUUGGGCAGGUUGAUCAUCCGUGGUUCUCCGCGGUGCACUCUGCCUGCCCAGGCCAGCAUCAGUUCGCCCCGGGGGAUAAAGGCUUUGGGAAUGUGGCUCCCUCGGGAGUGUUAUAGCCCACUGCGUAAUACCCUGGGGUGGACUGAGGUUCGCGCUCUGCAAGGAUGCUGGCGUAAUGGUCAUCAACGACCCGUCUUGAAACACGGACCAAGGAGUCGUCUUCGUAUGCGAGUGUUCGGGUGUCAAACCCCUACGCGUAAUGAAAGUGAACGUAGGAGAGAGCUUCGGCGCAUCUCCGACCGAUCCUGAUGUUCUCGGAUGGAUUUGAGUAAGAGCAUACGGGGCCGGACCCGAAAGAAGGUGAACUAUGCCUGUAUAGGGUGAAGCCAGAGGAAACUCUGGUGGAGGCUCGCAGCGGUUCUGACGUGCAAAUCGAUCGUCAAAUAUGGGCAUGGGGGCGAAAGACUAAUCG